UGACCUCAAAUCAGGUAGGACUACCCGCUGAACUUAAGCAUAUCAAUAAGCGGAGGAAAAGAAACUAACAAGGAUUCCCCUAGUAGCGGCGAGCGAAGCGGGAUGAGCUCAAAUUUGAAAUCUGGCGUCUUUCAGGCGUCCGAGUUGUAAUCUAUAGAAGCGUUUUCUGUGCUGGACCAUGUCCAAGUCCCUUGGAACAGGGUAUCAAAGAGGGUGACAAUCCCGUACUUGACAUGACCACCAGUGCUCUGUGAUACGUUUUCGACGAGUCGAGUUGUUUGGGAAUGCAGCUCAAAAUGGGUGGUAAAUUCCAUCUAAAGCUAAAUAUUGGCGAGAGACCGAUAGCGAACAAGUACCGUGAGGGAAAGAUGAAAAGCACUUUGGAAAGAGAGUUAAACAGUACGUGAAAUUGUUGAAAGGGAAACGAUUGAAGUCAGUCGUGUCUAUUGGUUUCAGCCGGUUCUGCCGGUGUAUUACCUUUAGACGGGUCAACAUCAGUUUUGGACGGCACAUAAGAGCGGUUAGAAUGUAGCACCUCCGGGUGUGUUAUAGCUUUUCGUUACAUAUGCUGUCCGAGACUGAGGACUGCAGCUCGCCUUUUAGGCCGGGGUUCGCCCACGUUCGAGCUUAGGAUGUUGACAUAAUGGCUUUAAACGACCCGUCUUGAAAC
rnacentral:rRNA from 1 species